UAGGGAAUCUUCCACAAUGGACGCAAGUCUGAUGGAGCAACGCCGCGUGAGUGAAGAAGGUUUUCGGAUCGUAAAGCUCUGUUGGUGGUGAAGAAGGAUAGAGGCAGUAACUGGUCUUUAUUUGACGGUAAUCAACCAGAAAGUCACGGCUAACUACGUGCCAGCAGCCGCGGUAAUACGUAGGUGGUAAGCGUGGUCCGGAUUUAUUGGGCGUAAAGCGAGCGCAGGCGGAAUGAUAAGUCUGAUGUGAAAGCCCAAGGCUCAACCGUUGAACUGCAUCGGAAACUGUCAUUCUUGAGUGCAGAAGAGGAGAGUGGAAUUCCAUGUGUAGCGGUGGAAUGCGUAGAUAUAUGGAAGAACACCAGUGGCGAAGGCGGCUCUCUGGUCUGCAACUGACGCUGAGGCUCGAAAGCAUGGGUAGCGAACAGG
rnacentral:rRNA from 1 species